rnacentral:rRNA from 1 species
AACUCCGCCCGAGCAACGCGGAGUGAAUGACGUAGUACUUCGGUAUGUAAAGUUCUUUUAUCAAGGAAGAAAAGCAAAUGGCGAACCAUUUGUUUGCCGGUACUUGAUGAAUAAGCCCCGGCUAAUUAUGUGCCAGCAGCCGCGGUAAGACAUAAGGGGCAAGUGUUAUCCGGAAUUAUUGGGCGUAAAGGGUGCGUAGGCGGUCUAGUAAGUCAGUGGUGUAAUGGCAACGCUUAACGUUGUCCGGCUAUCGAAACUGCUAAACUUGAGUUAGAUAGAGGCGAGUGGAAUUCCAUGUGUAGCGGUAAAAUGCGUAAAUAUAUGGAGGAACACCAGAGGCGUAGGCGGCUCGCUGGGUCUUAACUGACGCUGAGGCACGAAAGCGUGGGGAGCAAACAGGAUUAGAUACCCUGGUAGUCCACGCCGUAAACGAUGAGUACUAAGUGUCGGGUUAAACCGGUACUGAAGUUAACACAUUAAGUACUCCGCCUGAGUAGUACGUACGCAAGUAUGAAACUUAAAGGAAUUGACGGGACUCCGCACAAGCGGUGGAUCAUGUUGUUUAAUUCGAAGAUACCCGAAAAACCUUACCAGGUCUUGACAUGUUUUUGCAAAAUGAUAGUAAUAUCGUGGAGGUUACCAGAAACACAGGUGGUGCAUGGUUGUCGUCAGCUCGUGUCGUGAGAUGUUAGGUUAAGUCCUAAAACGAGCGAAACCCUUAUCGUUAGUUGCCAGCACGUUAUGGUGGGGACUUUAACGAGACUGCCAAUGAUAAAUUGGAGGAAGGUGAGGAUCACGUCAAAUCAGCAUGCCCCUUAUG